GCAAUUUUUUUGCAUAUUGUGAUUUUUAUUGAUUUAGGAAUAAGUUUCAUUUUUGCAACUACUUUUCCCUACCUAUACUUGUGCAGAGGAAAAUAGAAAGUGCUAUACUGCAACGACUAUUUAAUUAUAGCAGACUUAAAGGGUUGUAUGUUUUUUCUUUCUAUUCUCCAGAUUAUUGUUAUUUGUAUUUAAGAUAUUAAUAUCACUUCUGUUUUUUCCAUGUACUAGAGCCUAUGGUAAAACUAUGUGGCUCUAUUUAUGGUAUUUGCUGUACAGCCAUUAAUUAUUACCCCACUGCUGCAGGACAGUCAUUUAUUCAACAACUAUUUCUUAAAAUAAAAACUAUCACGACAACAGUCAAUUUUGCUAAAAGCUUCUUUUAAAAGUAUACACACACACAUACAACCUAAACACCUCUAACUGAGUAAAAGAAAGUAAACCAUGUCCAUAGUUCCACCAUAUUUAUUAUAGUACUCUCCACUGAAGCCUUAAAUCCACCACAAUUUAGAAAUGCUAAGCUACAUUUAGAAAAUUUGAAAAAAAUCUUUCCCUUCUUUUCAAAUAUGAAUUAUAGUUCCUCAGGAAGCCCAGACUAGCCAAAGGUUUGUAUAACCAUUCCACUUCAUUCUAUUCUUAGACUUCUGCAUCAAUCAGAAGUUAAUAAUAGAUAUAUUACACCCCCGGAAGUGGCAUCUUCCUUCUUUUCUUUCUUCACUAUUGCAUUCUACUUCCCUUUCUUAACAACAGCUGUAGAAAGAGGUUGCUGGAUAAUGAGGGCAAAGGCUUCCUUCCUGCCAGUAAUAGGGACUCUUACCUGGUUACCAUUUAGGGCAGUGAUUCUUAAAGUGUGGUCCCUGAGCAUGGGCCUUAGGAUCACCAGGGGCUUGUUAGAGAUACAAAUGUCUAAUUCUGAGGGUGGGGCCCAACAAAUCCGUACUUUAACAAGCCUCCAGGUGAUUGUGAAGCACACUAAGGUUCUAGGACCACUGACAUAGGGAAUAGUUACCAUGACAAUCACCCAUUAGAGAAUGCACAGAAAAUUCUACGCUAUCCUUGAAGAUCGUCCCCAAAUUAUUGGUUAAAUGCAGGAAAAAUUGAUGUAAUGAGGCACUGUGCAUUUGGACACAUUGCAAACAAGAUCAGGAGAAAGACCUGGGUUAGACAAAAGAAUGGAUAAGAUUAUCAAAGGAAGAUGUGUGAGAACAGAAGGGAGUAAAGCAAGGACCAAGACACCGUCCAUUUUUGAGAAACUGGUUGAGGAAGAGACUGAGAAGGAUUUCCGGAAAAACAAGAGAGAAACCAGGCAAGACAGGUGCCACAGGAGACAAGAGAGCAAAGAAUCUUUAAGAAGAAAAAAAGAGGUAUCAGUUUAGUUUAAGCUGAUUAAGUAGCAUAAAUCCUGGAUUUGGGAACUUUGAUAUAAGCAAUUUCAGAAGUUAAGAAGCCAGGUUCAGUAGAUGAAAAAUGAUAGAAAGUUUAACAACAUUUUUUAAAAAUUUCCUAAUGGAUAAUAAACUAAAUCAUUACAUAGGUUUCCCUCCCUGACCCUCAAUGUGCAUGUUCCAGAGAAAGGGUUUUGAAAAUUUUCUAUGUGAGGAGACACGUGCUCACGACCUCUCUCCUUUGAUCCUGGGGACAGACUGUGCAAGUUGUUACAGAUCGUUAGAGCCACUGUGCUGGAGUCUUCCACUCAUAACCUCUCCGCUCAUUGCAGGCCGUCUUAUCACAUUCACAGUGGGAGAUUGCAGCCUCCAAACUGCUAUUCUGACUCUGAUCUUCAUGUAAAAGAAUGUUCUUCGGGCAUCCCACUGGAUCUACUGUAAAACAUCAGUCACGCAUCCAUAGGAUGGACUCAAAGACCUUCCUGAUGAGUGGUGGUGUGAAAUAUACUAAGAAUAAAAGGAUGCUUCAUUUUUAUGCGCUAGAGAUUUAAAACCACAUUAUACUUUGAUGCUAUCACCAGCCUUUUUCUUUAUGAUAUCUGCUGUUAUGUGAAUUGAGGGUUUUUUGAAGUUAAUAACUGAAAUACCCUCAGGGCUGUAAUCUCAUCCGUUGGAAGGACCCUGAGCAAACUCUUCCGUGGUGUGCGGUCAAUGUACCAUCAAUUUGGCCUUUUCAGUUCCAUGUGAAGCAAUGGUUGAACAUUGUGGUUUCUUUUUGUAACUUAGCCUUCCCCCACAACAUUCUUGAAGUAGAAGCAACAGCAACGAUGUUCUAGUUCAUUUGUGUCAACUAAUUUAAAAAAACAAAUUAAGGAGAGUAAGUUCAGACAUUUUGGAUAUUACUUUAAAUGUUAACAAUCAUUGGCAGGUUUUGAAUCCUUUUCUCUGCUUUGUGAACUGAGAUUAUGAUGAGUAUGUUCAUUUCAAAAACUAAAAAUGGGCUUGCCAUUACUUACUUUAACAAGCUGAGCUUUAAAGUUAUGCAAAAUAAAAGAUCUAUUUAAAAUGAACUCUGUCCCAUAUUUUUUAGAUGGAAAUGUAAGAAUUUGGAUAUGAUCCUUAAGGGAAUUAUUUAAAAUUUUGUUUUGUAAGGAUUUCAUGUUAGACUUUAUAAGUCAGAAUUAGUAAGCAUAUAGGUCAAUAAGAAAUUAAGUUGGAACAUAUGCAAAGUCUGAUUAUGCUGUUUAUUAAGCCAUUCUGCAAUAACUGAUAUAUAUUAAAACCUAUAAACCUGGGCUUUAUGCUAACAGGUUGAAUCACACAAUGUUACAGAUCUUUUAUUAUUCUGCCUGCUCUUUUGGUAUGAAAUUCAAUUAAGACAUGAUUCUAAGGCUUCAUCAGAGCUUAGAAAAAUCCAGCAGUAGAUUUUCUACUCUUUUAGCAGUUAUAUUCACAAACUACAUACAUGUAUCUAAUUACAAUUUAAUAAGCCUUUCACCCAAGAGAGAAUUCUGUUCUCUGUAAAGCUUUUAUCCUUGCCCUACUUAUAAUGUCACUAUCAAGUUCUUUAUUCUGAAGGUUUAUUUUUUUCAAAGAUACAAUUAUAUGUUAUUUUCCUGCAUGUUACAAUUAUGCAGUUUUCUUUACAUGAAUAUUGCUUUCUGAGAGAAUGCUCUUUGAAAUAUUAGGGAAAAAAAUAACUAUAUCUAUAGAAAUAGGAAUAGUCUUCAUGAGCAAUAGAUUGGAAAAUAAGGCACAUUCAGCAUGAAUCGGAGUCUUUGUUGUUCACACUAGAUGACGGGUAAUUUUACAAAAAUAAGGCCAAGAAAAAUGAAAUAUGGGAUUUCAUAGUUUAUCAUAAGUCAAACACUUUAUACUGCCAAAAAUUCAGCAUAGUGUAGCCUCAAACCACACUCUAUGCUGUGGUUUGUGUGUGUGCACGUGUGUGUAUGUGUGUGUGUGUGUGUACAGUGCUAUGAUUUCUCAAGGUAGUCUGUCAUUACAAAUUUGAGAGACAAAGAUUUCCACUGGAAUUUGGUUGUCAAUCACGUUAUUUUAUAAAGAAAAAGACAUUUGGGGUCUUAGGUGAAGUGGUCUUUUGAUGCAUCUGUUCAGGCCUUAUCUCCUCCCCCCAUCUCCCACUUGCCACUUGUCUUGACUUUGUCUCCAGAUUCCUUUCCUUCUUCUGUUUUGUCCUUUUACUUCCCCUACUUCUUUCUCUAACCUUAAACUCCUCCAUGCACAAUCAUAAAGGAUUCCAAUUAUUAUUAUUCCUUUUUAAAAUUUAUCUCCAAAACAAUUAUCAUUGAUUAAGUGAUAAUUCACUACUCAAGGACAUUCAUAACUGUCAGUCAAGCCUCUCAUUUACUAUCCUGAGUCCAUGUCCUCUCCAGCACAAAACUUGGGCCCUUAACCUUGAUUCCAGCAAUGAAAAGCUGCGUGCAAUGUGCCCACCUUCUUGUAAAGUGGCCUGGCAGGCCCACUGGGAGAUUAGAUCACGUUCAUGAAUGUACACACACACAUUCAUGUGUUUAGAAAUGCAUGAGCAUGGGAAGGCUUGAGCCCAACUCAAGGGACAACAGAGAAGGAGAAGCUGCAGCUGGGAAAGAGGAGAUAAUUAUUGGACUAAACUCCAAAAGGAAUGCUUGAGAAGGAUCUGGAGCACAAGGAAAGGUUAGUCUUAGCAAGGAAAUGGAGUACUUUUCCUUUGAAACAGAAUAGGAGGAAUGAACCAAUAAAGAUAAGGUAAAUAGAAAGGGAGGUGAAAGAAAUCAUGUUAUAUAGCAUCUGUUUCUUGAUGAAACAGUGUGAAGUCAGGGGUGGGACUUCAAUCUUGAGAACAGCAGGAAAAAAGUCAUCUGACUCCAAUGCAUACUGUAUUAGUCAGGGUUCUGCAGAGAAACAGAACCAAUAGGAUGUGUAUAUAUAUAUAGAGAGAGAGAGAUUUAUUUUAAGGAAUUGACUCACAUGAUUCUGGAGGGUGAGUGCAAAAUCUGCAGGAUGGACUGACGGGCUGGAGAUCCAGGAGUAGCUGAUGUUGCAGUUCAAGCCGGAGGCCUUCAGCUGACAGAAUUCCUUCUUACUUGGAGGAGGUCAGUCUUUGUUCUGUUAUGGGCUUCAACUGAUUAGGUGAUGCCCACCACAUUAUGGAGGACAAAUGACUUUGCUCAGAGUCCACCAGUUUAAAUGUAAAUCUCAUCCACAAAAAACAUCCUCAUAGAAACAUCCAGUAUAAUGUCUGACCAAAUAUUUGGGCACUAUGGCCCAGUCAAGUUGACACGUAAAAUUAACCAUCAUACGUAUGUUCCCUUAGCUGCCUGACUGACUCCAAGUUCUUCAAGAAUCGGUUCUCCCAUCUUCUCCUCAGGAAGCCUUCCCAUAAACCCAUCCUCAAGGGGAAGUUUGCGUCCCUGAAGUAAAUUCCCAGACUGCCCUUCUCUAAUACCCCCCAUUAGAAUCUCAGUCCCUGAGCAUGGGCAUUUUUGUUCACAUCUGUAUCUCUAGCACGUAAAAUGUCACCAGCUGUAUUGCAGGCACUCAACAAAAAGUCAAUGAAUGAAUCAGGGAAUGAAUUGCAUUUAAUUUCUGUCAGUUUUACUAUACUGUGAACUCCUUGAAAGCAGGGACAGUCUGAAUUACCUUUUUAUACCCAACCCCUAGCACAAAUUAAGAGCUCUGUAAAUGCUUGCUGAAGGAAUAAAUGCAUAAGUGACUUACCAAAUGCUUACUAUGUAUCUUUGCUUAUCCCCGAUUACUACGAUUUCAUUCCAAAUGUUAAAAAAAAAAAAUUGUGAAGAAUUUACACAGGUUUGCAUUGCUGCCUGGCUGGAGAGAUUAUACUAGCAAUUAGAAUUAUAAAUCAGAAAAUUCUGGUGGUAGGAAUCUGACAUCAGCAGUUUUUAAAGUCCUGCAGGGGAUCCCAGUGGGUGGGAAUCCCCGUACUAGAUACAGUUACAGUGGGGGCGAUGUUAAGGAAGGUUAGAAACCUUGGGUAUCUCUAUGGAAGGCAGUGCCAUGUGGGGACACCAAGAAGAAGGCUUUGACUAGGCUCCAGAGGAGGAGUUAAGGACUCCUACAGAGGAGAGAGAAAUGCUGAAAAGCAAGCUAUGGUGUUUUGUAAACACUGAGUAUUUACCACAUACCAGGCACUAGCUAAGUGCCUUACACGCAUUGCCCCGGUCUUCAUAACAAAGUAUGUACUUCUUGCAAAGUAUACUAUGUUUUUUUUUUUUUUUUUUUACAGAUGAGGACAUUGAGGUUUAUGUAGUUUAAUUAAAUUCCUCAAUACCCCACAUCAAGUGAACAGAACAGUAAAAUUUCAAGCCUAUGAUUAUCUGGCUGUAAAGUUUAUGUUCUUUCCAACACAUUAGUCAUUCUCAACCCUAAUUGCACAAUAGAAGCACCCAAAUUGAUGCCCCACUUAAGAUCUGUUAUAUCAGAAUCUCUAGGUAAGAGGCUCAGGCGUCAGUAUUUUAUUUUAAAUCCCACUAGUGUUUCUAAAAUGCUGCCAGGGUUGAAAAUCACCACCAUAAACGUCACAGAUCUUUCUCCAUUUUGCCAACUCUCACACUGGGCUUCCGGGUUCUCUCAUCCAGGAAAAGAGACUUGACUCAAUCAAUUUAUGAAUGAUCUGCCUUAAAUUCAGAUAAGGGAGUCUGAACGGCCACACAAAUGCCAGGUAAUUCGAGGUGCUCUGGAUAGGUGUCCACUUUGAUGUUAG
rnacentral:lncRNA from 1 species